AAUGAACGUUGGCGGCGUGGAUUAGGCAUGCAAGUCGAGCGCGAUAUGUAGCAAUACAUGGAGAGCGGCGAAAGGGAGAGUAAUACGUAGGUAUCUACCCUCGGGUCUGGGAUAGCAGCGGGAAACUGCUGGUAAUACCAGAUAACGUCUCCGGACCAAAGGUGUGAUUCCACCUGAGGAGGAGCCUACGGCCUAUUAGCUAGUUGGUAGGGUAACGGCCUACCAAGGCAAAGAUGGGUAUGGGGUGUGAGAGCAUGCCCCCACUCACUGGGACUGAGACACUGCCCAGACACCCACGGGUGGCUGCAGUCGAGAAUCUUCGGCAAUGGGCGAAAGCCUGACCGAGCGACGCCGCGUGCGGGAUGAAGGCCUUCGGGUUGUAAACCGCUGUCGUAGUGGAGGAAAUGUAGGAGAGUUAUCUCUUCUACUUGACUAAUACUAGGAGGAAGGACCGGCUAAUCUCGUGCCAGCCGCCGCGGUAAGAC
rnacentral:rRNA from 1 species